GGAGAAGUACCCAAGAGGCUGAAGGGGACGCACUCGAAAUGCGUUAGGGGUUAACAGCCCGCGUGGGUUCAAAUCCCACCUUCUCCGCCA
rnacentral:tRNA from 1 species